CUCUGUAUUCUUCCACAGCUUUCUUGAACUGCAACACUUCUUCAGAUUUGUUUUGUUUAUUUGCCUUAUGGUUAUAGUGAUUUUAUUACACAUCUGCUCGAUUGAUUUUGCGGUUCAAUAAAGCUGUGGGAAGAUACAGACA
rnacentral:pre_miRNA from 1 species